UCACGCGCUCGGACCCGGGCACGUGCUUGGACGUCCCCAGGGAUUGAGGAUUAGAACAUCCCGUGAUCUUUUUAAAAUAACUGGAUUUUUAAAAAAGUUAAUCACCACGUUGUCUCUUCUCACGUUAAGUCAGAAGAUUGAUCGCUUUUGAUGUCUCUAAGUGUAAAGUUAAAGCUCCCAGGAUCCACACCUUAGAUCCAUGCCACACCUGUCACACGUUGAGAAGUGACACAGCUUCUCAAAACCAUGCAAGGUAUGCAGGAGGACUGGCCGAGCUGAGUGGUGGACGGAUCAAGGCCCUGCAGCUCCCCGCUGUUGGAAGCAGCUGUCUCACGGGGCAAGUGUUUGUUCCCAGAUCUGGAGCGCAGUGGUUCAUGAUUCUUCAAUUAAAGGACAACUUAGCUGUGCACUAACGUGGCCAUCACAUGCUGGAUUCAGCUGAUGGAGUAGCAGGAAGGGGUUACCUUUGGGAAGAGAGAUGCAGCCUCUGGAGGUCCUCGAGGGGCUCUAGUCUGAAGCGUCAGAACACAUCUGACCAUCUCCUGGCUCAAGUUCAACAAGAAGAGAGAUGGAAUAGUGUGGAUGGAGUACAUUUCCCACUAAGAACAGUUAAAAGCCCUGGACAUUGUAUACGAAACAAACAAGAGAAAACUCUGAAAGGCAGAGAGAAGAAGACAACUGACUAAGGACCUUGGGAUCUGAGGAAUGACAGGACAAUGAGUUCUCUGUGUUAUUUUUUUGUUUGUUUGGUUUGUUUGUUUGUCUUGCCUCAUAUAUCUUAGGCUAGAGAAGCUGGCAACCUAGAACCACCACAGGAACAAAUUUUUAAAAAACCCCAAGAAAUGCCUGCUCUCACUAGCUAAAGGACUGGGAAAGGGGUAACGUAGACAACUCUUAGACCAGUAACUACCCUAUUCUAGCCAAACCCUGCGGAAAAAAAAAAAGUGACCUCACCCCUGUCCCAGUCAGCAAAGGCUGAAUAGAGGGACUCCCACCUUCACCCUUUUGUUAGAAGGCAUCACUCAUGACCCCUCUAACCCCUGCUGGGGUGAUGUCAGAGAAGACCAAGUGGGGAGCCAGCACUUUCAUCCCGGCCCAGUUGACAGGUGACUAGCAAAAACAAAACAAACAAAACGAUGCAACCACAUGGAAGUGUAUUAUGCCAGGUUAAAAAAAAAAAAAAAAGCCAGUCUCAAAAGGUCAUAUACUGUAUGAUUCCAUUAUAUAACAUCCUUGAAUAACAAAACUAUAGA